rnacentral:sRNA from 2 species
CUCCCAAUUGCGAAAUGCCAGAGUUUCUAAUAUUAGCAGUGUUCGCGAUUUGCAAUCCUCCUUUGACACUUCCGGCCAUCCCUUCCAAUGCCAAUAUACUUAUGAUCGGAAUCAAGCUGUUCUCAAUCCCUCUGGAGAGAAUCAAGUAAUUUACAGAGCCAUUCCUCCUUGGCCUCAAAAUUCCGAGAAGAUGCCUUCUCCGUGCAGGGCGAUUACGAUCUUGAAUAGCAGUCUUACUUCCAAGCAACCGAAAUCGCACAGACAUAAAAAUCGCCCUUGCCAUACGCGCGACCACAACUUGAAAUGGGUAGGCGUGUAACAAACCAAGUCUAACCCCGUUCAACUCUAUGCAGGUAUGCUAUGUAGUCUGAAGAAAUAGAUACAUAUUUUGAGGUAUCUUCCUCUACUGGCUGGAGAAACCAGGACUCUAUACAAAUACCUUUCUGUGGCGUUUUUGUAAAACAUCAUUUUAAAGCUACGGGAAUUUUCGUCAAUAACAUAUAUUGGCUAUCCUACCCCUAUCAGGGCUCUGGAUUUCAUCUUUCUCAGGGCCCUUAACCUUAACUAGUUGUCAUUCCAUCCUAUAGUAUUGGAAGUGGG